GGAAUGGUAAUUAGGGUAUCUUCAAAACCAGCUUGUCUACGCAAGUGGAUAGGUGGGUUCGACUCCCACCCUCUCCU
rnacentral:tRNA from 1 species